GUCCACGCCCUAAACGAUGUCUACUAGUUGUCGGGUCUUAAUUGACUUGGUAACGCAGCUAACGCGUGAAGUAGACCGCCUGGGGAGUACGGUCGCAAGAUUAAAAACUCAAAGGAAUUGACGGGGACCCGCACAAGCGGUGGAUGAUGUGGAUUAAUUCGAUGCAACGCGAAAAACCUUACCUACCCUUGACAUGGAUGGAACUCCGGAGAGAUUUGGAGGUGCCCGAAAGGGAACCAUUACACAGGUGCUGCAUGGCUGUCGU
rnacentral:rRNA from 1 species